rnacentral:lncRNA from 1 species
GUCUUGUUGUAAGUUAUUCUCCUGUGAAUUAUUCGAUUUGUUAAAGGUGGUCACUGUAUGGAAGAAGUAGGAGUAGAUGCAGUAAGGAGAAGAUCUGGUACGAGUUUUAUCUUUCGGCCGAAUUAAGCAAAUAUGCGGUCCCAGCAUAUUACUCGAAUCCGGGUCUGUUCGCGCCUAAUCACGUUCGAACCCAUCCACAUUCGAACCCUUUCACUUUCGCACCCCACAUGUUCGCACCCAAAGUCCGUUCGCACCCAAUUUUACCGAUUUUUGGGGUGUGCCAUUGUUUCUAAAUAAAUCGAGAUACUGACAAUUUUUUUGUGUGUCAAGUAUAGUGCCAUAAAAAAAAAAAAGAAAUUCUUUUGUUUUUAAGUCUGAUUCUGUUAUUCUGGCAACAACUAUAUCAUUUUUGUGUUGAAUAAUUCUUAAUCCUGUUUUGGUUAGGGUAUUGAAAUAAUUUGUUUUUCACUAUUUCUAGUCAAUUAGUUGCGAAUCUGACAACAUGUUAAACAAAUGGUAUGCAUGGUAAGUGUAUU